GUGCCAGCAGCCGCGGUAAUACGUAGGGUGCAAGCGUUGUCCGGAAUUACUGGGCGUAAAGAGCUCGUAGGCGGUUUGUCACGUCGUCUGUGAAAUCCUCCAGCUCAACUGGGGGCGUGCAGGCGAUACGGGCAGACUUGAGUACUACAGGGGAGACUGGAAUUCCUGGUGUAGCGGUGAAAUGCGCAGAUAUCAGGAGGAACACCGGUGGCGAAGGCGGGUCUCUGGGUAGUAACUGACGCUGAGGAGCGAAAGCAUGGGGAGCAAACAGGAUUAGAAACCCUUGUAGUCC
rnacentral:rRNA from 1 species